UUCAUGUUAACUCUUCACAGUUCACACACACAAUGUUAUCCAAGCGUAGACCGUUAUCAGAAUUGAGAAAACCCUUAAAAAUGGCGUAGCCAAAAAAAAAAAAAAAACUCUUCUCCAUCUCUCCGCCGGUAAAAUCCAUUUUCCACGAUGAAUUGCAUAUCCUCCUCCAUUGAAUUCCCCCCUCUCCGAUCGCAUCUCAAGCCAAAUCGACGGCAACCGCAACAGAAUUCACCACCGAAGAAGAAUCUCCACAUCUUCCGCCACAUUUACAUUUCUCCGCAAACCUACCGAUUUGAUUCCCUAAAAGUCAAUGCAAUUCCGUCUUCUCUAAUUUUGGGAAACAGCACUAUUCCUCCGUCUCAAUCCGGCGACGUUUCCGUCCUCCUCCAGACAGGCGGCGUACUUCUGAUUGCGUAUUUGAUAGCUAAUUUCAUUCUGCCGGAGUUUAUUAUGAAAUCGUACCGGUCCGAUGAGAGCGACGGAAAAGCUGCGGCGGAAGAUGAAGAAUCAAGCGAAGGGAGGAAGAAACAGGGCUUUAGCGGCAGAAGGAGAUAACGAAACUUGAAGGUGCCCAAAGAGGAAAGGCAUGGAUGGAAAUUGCAAGUAACGUGUGGGCCACGUUGAAUGUCGCCAUAGGUCAUUGCCAGAACGUGGAAGACAUUACCAUUGGAGCAAGAGCUUUCACGUCGCUGCUGCUAAUUUGUUGAAGAAGAACUCUGUAAGAGGCGGUUGGAGUUCGUGGACGUUGAGCUCAAGUUGUCACCGAAGGAAAGCGCUAGUCGUUCAAGCUGCCAGAAGAAGAAGAAGCAACAGAAGGAGCAGCGUGGCUGCUGUCUUUCAUGAGAAAGAAAGAGGGAAAGGGUCUGCCUUGGGAUUGUUUGUAGGGAAGAUGAUAUGGAUGACUUAUUUUGGAGGUCCAAAAUGAAAAAUACACAACUUUUUAAAAAUAUUGGUAUUUGACCUUCUUCUGAUUGACGUCAUGCUGAAGUUAUGGAUUUGUCCUUCCUUCAAAUUCUUUAACUGUUCGCGUGGCUUCUUCCUCUCACUUCCUCACUUCUUCAUCUUCCUCUCUUUAAUGAUUCAUUAUCGACAGUGACAUAAACCACCACCAUUUCUCUCUAACACUUGUCGUCGACCACCACAAACCAUCAAGCGACCAUCCGUUCGCCAGAAUCGCAUUCAUCUGGUACUUGAUCAUAGG